rnacentral:misc_RNA from 1 species
GAUGAAGAACGUAGCGAAAUGCGAUAAGUAAUGUGAAUUGCAGAAUUCAGUGAAUCAUCGAAUCUUUGAACGCACCUUGCACCCUUUGGCAUUCUGAAGGGUAUGCUCGUUUGAGUGUCAUUGUACUCUCACACUCCCGAUCUUUGCAUUGGGAGCAGUGGACUUGGGUUUGCUGCUUCACCGUCGCUUACCUCAAAUAGGUUAGUGCAACUCUCGGUUGGACAUAGUACGGCGUGAUAAGUGUUCUUCGCCGGUGCCUCGCAAAGAGGGUGGCCGAUCGGGAUGUUGUGCUCCAAACCGUCUUCGGACAAUCUCUGACGACUUGACCUCAAAUCGAGUAAGACUACCCGCUGAACUUAAGCAUAUCAAUAAGCGGAGGA